UGUCAUCCCAUAGUUAGUUAGUAGGUUAGUUAAGACACCUUACCUUACCUUACCUUACCUUAAUGUCUCCUCUCUCUCUCUCUCUCUCUCUCUGGUCAUCUCUUUCUGUCAUCCCAUAGUUAGUUAGUAGGUUAGUUAAGACACCUUACCUUGCCUUACCUUACCUUACCUUAAUGUCUCCUCUCUCUCUCUCUCUCUCUCUGGUCAUCUCUUUCUGUCAUCCCAUAGUUAGUUAGUAGGUUAGUUAAGACACCUUGCCUUACCUUGCCUUAAUGUCCUCUCUCUCUCUUUUCUUCUCCUCUCUCUCCCUCCCUUCUGAUGCCUCUCUCUCUCUUCUCCUCUCCCUUCUAAUGCCUCUCUCUCUCUCUUUCUUCCUUUUUUAUCAGCAAAUUUCUUGUUCUUUCUUUCAUUAUUCCUUUUCCUUCUCUCCCUUUUUAUCAGUAAAUUUCUUGUUCUUUCUUUCAUUAUUCCUUUUCCUUCUCUCUCUCUCUCCCUUUUUAUCAGUAAAUUUCUUGUUCUUUCUUUCAUUAUUCCUUUUCCUUCUCUCUCUCUCUCUCUCUCUCUCUCUCUCUCUCCUUAUUCCUCUUUUAUCUUCCUUCUCUCAUUUAUUAUCUCUCUUUUGCUUCUCAUAUUGUUCUCUCUCUCUCUCUCUCUCUCUCUCUCUCUCUCUCUCUCUCUCU